CUAAAAAGAAAAGUGAUUUAUGUAUCAGGGAAUCCAUCUAUUAUUCACAAUAGGAGAUAUACCUAAAUCCUUAUGAAGCUAUUCUUUUCCCAUUAUCUUGGUACUUGGAAGACUUCAUCACUAAGCAGAAAGCUGCUUGCUAAGUAAGGACUUUCUGAUUAGUAGAUAGAUGCCCUUAAAAAAUCUUUCAUAGGACUGAUAUUCCUGGUCAACGAGGGAACAAAGAGAUGGCAGUCAAAUGAUCAUACCAGUCGAAAACAGAACAUUGCCCACCUGAUCUUGAGGAGAUCGAGGUUGUCAGUUUUAGGAACUUGACCUGGUGAUACAUACCGUACAUGUUGGCAAGAUGUUCCAGCAAUGUGUACACAGUGUUUUGAAGCAGAGACAAGUCAUCUUUUCAGAUGUUCCAGGAAUUCUCUGGAAUUUCUUCUCAGAUGUUUCAGGGAUCCUCUGGAAUUUCCCAAAGUUAGUUCAAGCACCCCUCAUUUCCAGGUUGGAAUCCUAAAGGGGGAAGAAAGUUUGAUAUGUCAGGAGAGGAGUAAGAACUGGAAAACAUAGAGAAGAAAUAUGUCAAUAGCUAAGAGAUGAUUAUUGAGAAAAGAGACA